rnacentral:rRNA from 1 species
CCUACGGGUGGCUGCAGUGGGGAAUAUUGCGCAAUGGGCGAAAGCCUGACGCAGCUACGCCGCGUGGGUGAUGAAGGCCUUCGGGUUGUAAAGCCCUGUCGGGAGGGACGAAGUUCUGACGGUACCUCCCAAGAAAGCACCGGCUAACUCCGUGCCAGCAGCCGCGGUAAUACGGAGGGUGCAAGCGUUGCUCGGAAUCAUUGGGCGUAAAGCGUACGCAGGCUGUUCGUUAAGUCGGGUGUGAAAGCCCAGGGCUCAACCCUGGAAUGGCGCCC